rnacentral:rRNA from 1 species
UUUGGAAUUUUGGACAAUGGACGAAAGUCUGAUCCAGCGACGCCGCGUGGACGAUGAAGGCCUUCGGGUUGUAAAGUCCUUUUGCUCGGGAACAAUUUUUGAGCGUACCGAGAGAAUAAGAGGUUGCUAACUCUGUGCCAGCAGCAGCGGUAAUACAGAGACCUCAAGCGUUAUCCGGAAUCAUUGGGCGUAAAGCGUACCGAUAGGUGGUUUUACAAGUCAGAAGUGAAAUCUCUCAGCUUAACUGGGAGACUGUCUUUUGAAACUGUAAAACUAGAGGGCAAAGAGGAAGCUGGAACGAACGGUGUAGUAGUGAAAUGCGUUGAUAUCGUUCGGAACACCAAUAGCGUAGGCAGGCUUCUGGGUGCCACCUGACACUGCUAGGACGAAAGCGUGGGG